UACGGAGGGGGCUAGCGUUGUUCGGAAUUACUGGGCGUAAAGGGCUCGUAGGCGGCCAACUAAGUCGGACGUGAAAUCCCUCAGCUUAACUGGGGAACUGCGUCCGAUACUGGAUGGCUUGAGUUUGGGAGAGGGAUGCGGAAUUCCAGGUGUAGCGGUGAAAUGCGUAGAUAUCUGGAGGAACACCGGUGGCGAAGGCGGCAUCCUGGACCAACACUGACACUGAGGAGCGAAAGCCAGGGGAGCAAACGGG
rnacentral:rRNA from 1 species